rnacentral:lncRNA from 1 species
CCCCCUUACUUAUAUUCCCUAUCCAAAAUGUUCCGUUGUUAAUAGAAUAAAGUACAAAGAACUUCUGAAGGAUUUGCCUUCAACUGCAAUUAUAUUGUAUGCUGGCAAAACAAAACUAUAUAUAGCCGCUGCAUGUUUAUGCACCUGUCCUGAUUGAUUCAGGGGCCUGUCGUUCAGCAGUUAUCGUUUUUGAUGUUGUUCAUUGGUAAUUUUCC